rnacentral:rRNA from 1 species
UACGAAGGGGGCAAGCGUUGUCCGGAUUUAUUGGGCGUAAAGAGCGUGUAGGCGGCUUUACAGGUCCGUUGUGAAAACUCGAGGCUCAACCUCGAGACGCCGGUGGAAACCGUAAAGCUAGAGUCCGGAAGAGGAGAGUGGAAUUCCUGGUGUAGCGGUGAAAUGCGCAGAUAUCAGGAAGAACACCCGUGGCGAAGGCGGCUCUCUGGGACGGUACUGACGCUGAGACGCGAAAGCGUGGGGAGCGAACAGG